GGAGGGAUGCCGGAGCGGCCGAACGGUCCCGCCUUGAAAGCGGGUGAGGCGAAAGCCUCCGUGGGUUCAAAUCCCACUCCCUCCGCCA
rnacentral:tRNA from 1 species